GCCGAUGCAAGUUGGCGUUGGUAAGUAAAGGCUAUAGGUGAGCGAUGCGAUGCGAACUUGUAGGUGCAAUACCCCUGCUCCGACAUCGGCACGGCGCCGACCGAUGGGUGCCUCCCUCAUACCUGGCGGUGGACCGUCAAUCUGCGUGGCCUCUGGGCCACAUUCGUCGCCACAUUCCGGCCGCACCACCUUCAUCCGUCUUCAUCCGAACCUACUUACUUCACGGCGGUGUAUCUAGCCCCGCCCAAGGCUUGCAUCUUCCAGGGGUGGGCCACGAUCGCAGGCGUGUAAGGGCCCUAAUAUCGUUCUCGCCCAUGGCAUCCGGGGGCCCAAAAAUGCCUAGGUUUUAGCGGUUGGGGGGGCUCGCGGACAGUGCUCGUAUCUUCACAAGGCAUGCGGUGGGCGGUGUCGCGUACCUGGCGGUUGCAGUGGCGGUGGCGUUCCAGCUUCGCGGCUGGGGACGUUCCAUUGCGGCGCUGCUGUCGCGGGUAAGGACAGACAACGCUGUUGCACAUGCCUUCUCUUAUACUUCUCUCACCCUUUCACGCACAACGACGCGUGCCAUGCGUACUGCUGUCUCCCGCUGGCGCCGCGGCCCCUAGCGGGUUUGGGGCUGAGCCAGGCCGGGGCGUGCCCAUGCCAGGAGGAUGCUGGGAGCAUCAUGCAAGUGCUAGUUGACAAGUAGGUGCAAGAAAGCGUGUUGGAGCCCACGUCACACUUGCCUUGCCUUGCACUGCCCGCCCGCGCGUUUCGGCUGCAGGGCGGAAAGCACAAGGACAAGCACGCCCAUGCAAAGCCCGGUGAGCCGCCGCCCCUUUCGGGUGUGUGUGUGCGUGCACAUGGCGCUAAAGCUUGGAACGAUGGGGUAUUCCCAUCCCUUCGGUACCGAAAGAAGCACGUCAGACGGCAUACCGUAGUGUAAUACAGUAAGGCAUCCUCCAAAUCUUACCUGCUGCACAGGCGUCAACAAGGGCCGGCAGCUGAAGACCAAGGCGCGGUCCAACAGCAGAAAGGCCCCACGUCCCCGCUGCUCCUUGCCGCCCCGCCGCCGCGCAGCUGUGCCUGCGCAACGCACCCGAGUGCGGCUUCGUGCACGCGGACAGCAUCUGUGUGGCGGCGUGCUUUGGCUGCGCGCAGNNNNNNNNNNNNNNNNNNNNNNNNNNNNNNNNNNNNNNNNNNNNNNNNNNNNNNNNNNNNNNNNNNNNNNNNNNNNNNNNNNNNNNNNNNNNNNNNNNNNCGCUGCUGUCGCGGGUAAGGACAGACAACGCUGUUGCACAUGCCUUCUCUUAUACUUCUCUCACCCUUUCACGCACAACGACGCGUGCCAUGCGUACUGCUGUCUCCCGCUGGCGCCGCGGCCCCUAGCGGGUUUGGGGCUGAGCCAGGCCGGGGCGUGCCCAUGCCAGGAGGAUGCUGGGAGCAUCAUGCAAGUGCUAGUUGACAAGUAGGUGCAAGAAAGCGUGUUGGAGCCCACGUCACACUUGCCUUGCCUUGCACUGCCCGCCCGCGCGUUUCGGCUGCAGGGCGGAAAGCACAAGGACAAGCACGCCCAUGCAAAGCCCGGUGAGCCGCCGCCCCUUUCGGGUGUGUGUGUGCGUGCACAUGGCGCUAAAGCUUGGAACGAUGGGGUAUUCCCAUCCCUUCGGUACCGAAAGAAGCACGUCAGACGGCAUACCGUAGUGUAAUACAGUAAGGCAUCCUCCAAAUCUUACCUGCUGCACAGGCGUCAACAAGGGCCGGCAGCUGAAGACCAAGGCGCGGUCCAACAGCAGAAAGGCCCCACGUCCCCGCUGCUCCUUGCCGCCCCGCCGCCGCGCAGCUGUGCCUGCGCAACGCACCCGAGUGCGCCUUCGUGCACGCGGACAGCAUCUGUGUGGCGGCGUGCUUUGGCUGCGCGCAGCAGCUGGCAGCCCCGGCCGGCGGUGCAGCGGCGGCAGCGCCCCUGUGCUGCCCCUUCUGCUCCAAGGCCAUCGUGAGCGUCCUGGCGGUCCACACGGCGGAGCAGUAGCAGGUGCAGUAGCAGUAGCAGGUGCGAUAAUUGAGGUGUGGGUACUACCGCCGAAGGGAGGCCAGCAGCAGCUGAGACAGCGUGCGAUGAUGCAGCCUCGCAGCGUCGAGAGGUUGGCUUACCCAAAGGCUGGUUGGGAACGCGGAGUGUGGAUCAUGAGCAGGCCCGAGACACUGAAUGAUUGGGAUGCUAGACGGGCGAAACGCUCGCAUGUUCGGCCAUCAUGGCCUUGCCAACUGGAUUGCAUGACGGGCAAGCUUUAUCCAGAAACUAAUGUAUGUCAUGGGGUAGAGUGAUAGGUUGCAUCAUCCUGCAUGAAACGGACGCUGCGCGGUGACCACACAGAAUCUAUUCUUUUGUUCUGAGUCAGGCUGUGUUACAAUGGACAUGACCGAGGGCAAAAGGCGGAGGAGUGAGGGGUGUGUCGAGUCCACUCUGCGAGAGCGUGCAUCCAGCAGCCAGCAGCGAUUGUUGCGGAGUCCUGUGUGCGCAUGGGGUCCGAUCGGGGCAUGCUGCAGUGCACACGGUCGUGAGGCGUUGGUCACUUGGCAGCAGCUGGCAGCCCCGGCUGGCGGUGCAGCGGCGGCGGCCCCCCUGUGCUGCCCCUUCUGCUCCAAGGCCAUCAUUAGCGUCCUGGCAGUCCACGCAGUGGCGCAGUAGUGGCGCAGUAGCAGUAGCAGGUGCGACAAUUGAGGUGUGGGGACUACCGCCGAAGGGAGGCCAGCAGCAGCUGAGACAGCGUGCGAUGAUGCAGCCUCGCAGCGUCGAGAGGUUGGCUUACCCGAAGGCUGGUUGGGAACGCGGAGUGUGGAUCAUGAGCAGGCCCGAGACCAGGGGAGACACUGAUUGACUGGGAUGCUAGGCGGGCGAAACGCUCGCAUGUUCGGCCGUCAUGGCCUUGCCAACUGGAUUGCAUGACUUGGCAAGCUUUAUUCAGAAACUCAUUGACGUCACGGGGUAGAGUGAUAGGUUGCAUCAUCCUGCAUGAAACGGACGCUGCGCGGUGACCACACAGAGUCUGUACUUUAUUCUGAGUCGGGCUGUGUUACAAUGGACAUGAGGGCAAAUGUUCCGGAGUCCUGUGUGCGCAUGGGGUCCGAUCGGGGCAUGCUGCAGUGCACACGGUCGUGAGGCGUGGCCACUUGGCCGCGAUUGCGGCGCUGGGUGACGGCUGCGUAGGGUUGGCCGUGGCUGGGCGAUCGGUGUGGUAUCAGGGACUUGGCCUAAGCAAUGCACCGACAGGCGCGGGCAUGUACGGGUGUGCGUGGGCUGAGUCAAUCUUAUAGGUGGGGCAGGGUGCACCUCGUUCGGUGCCGUACGGGGUCUGAAGUGAGACGGCGGUAGCGGGCGGCCACGAAGUGGCGUGGCGCACUGGGGGUCCGUACUCCGCAGUGACCAUGAGUAGGUGGAACACGGGGCCCACGGAGGGGCGGCAGGGGCCCCCACGCGCUUCGAAACCUUGCCCUUGCCUGUGAGUUUCGUACUGCGUACCGUACAGCAUUACGGUGGUAAGAUACGGUGCCGGUAUUGUGGACCUCUGCAACCCCUGAAACUGACGUGCCAGCUACGUCCGGUAAAGCUGCGCAACUGGAUGAGCGGAAGAUAAGGUCCGGGUCCGGCGUGUCAAACCCCUCCACCCCUUCCUUGGCCAGUGCCAGAUGCCAUGUUAUAGCCGUGUCCUGCACCUGCCCCUGCCCAAACCUGCACCUGCACCCGCCCCUGCCCAAACCUGCACCUGAACCCGCCGAACCCUGCACCCGCCCAAACCUGCACAAAGAGCUUUUCACAUACAGAUUGCAUUGGUUACAAGAGGGACCUGCUGACGCAGUUCACGAGCCAGUGACGUGGAGAACGAUCACCCUGCCCUGAACCCCAGGGGCGUGCCGCCUGCAACGCCGCCGGCCUACUCUAGCUCUAGUAGGCUUGCUCCCAUAGGACGCUCCUCCCGCCAUAUCGAACAUGUUACUAGGUGCCAUCACUCCACCUCCUCUUCCAUUAUGAGACUUCGUGGUCUGUUCAGCUUCAUACUUCCAUCUGCUCUUCGCUCUAUCCAAGGGUGGCCUUGCGAGACUCGGUCCCACCCCCUCGGUUUGGCACCAAGACACACAUACAGAGAAUGCCAUCAACUGCAUUUGCUCGCAAAUACUCGGCUUGCAGCAGGUGUCCCUUGGCGUGCAGCACAGCAGCAUGAGGCCUUGCUGGCCUCCCUGCUGUGUUCGGUAAUCUUAACGUCAUGAGUGAUGGACCGCUGGUGACACACUCCAUUCACUCUCAUGCAUCGGGCAGGCGUCUCCUGCUGUACACAGCUCAGCGCCUCCUUUUGCACACACCGUUAGCAAGCCUCAGCCUGCCUUAGCGGUGAGUGCCGUGCUCACACUACCUCACACUACUUCGCUUACCAAGCCGAAUCUAAGCUUGCCAGCCGUUCGCACUCUGCUACCUGCUGUGGUGAACCUUCCAAUGCAGCCACACACAAACACACACCGGCCUCUCCUCCAAAAUCCAGGAUGUCUAUCCCUAGCACAUUUCCAUGAAACGCACACAUCAUACACACAGCACAAGGGAUGAUGUCCCCGCAAGCGCUAUCUGGUCAUGGGUAUUGACAACUGGGUGUGUCAGAUACCGAUACAGUCCUACAUUACCGUACUUAGAUUACACAAUCACCAAAUCUGAGCUUGCCUGCCCUUCGCGCUCUGCUAUCCGCUGUAACGAACUUACAAAUGCAGAUAGAUACACACAGGUCCGGCCACUGAUGUUAAGAUUUCCGCGUGGGCACAGGGGUCAUGUACUCGUGACACCAUAAUAACAAAUGCAGGACAAAAAUGAAAGCUCCUGAGGCCACAUAACAAUCAGGACAAAGGCCCCUCCAUCAAAUCCAGGAUGUCAAGCCUAGCAUCCUUAACAACAUUUCCAUCGCAUACACACGGCACAAGCACUGAUGCCCCCGCAGGCGCUAUCUGGUCACGGGUAGCCAGGUGGUAUACUGGCAACUGGGUAGCAGUCCUACGGCCGCACGGCCUCUCCCAGCGCAUCAGCCAAGACAACCGUAACCCUCCUUCCAUGUGUUCUGAAGGCCGACAAGCAGCCAGGCGUCAACACCCCGUUUCGGCGGUUUGGACCCUCGUCGUUACAUUUCGGAGGCCCGGACCCACUGUUUCAGCGGCCCGGCCCGCAAUCAUGACGGUCAUCCUGGCCGUUUGGCCCAUGGCCUGGCCCCUACUGCGCAGCCUCCUGGGACGCAGCCUCCUGGGGCGCAGCCUCCUGGGGCGCGGGCUACCAGGAGGCUGCGCAGUAGCGGCCAGGCCAUGGGCAUAAUCGGCCAGGACGGCCGGCAUGGUUGCGGGUGAAACAGUCGGUCCGGGCCUCCGAAACGCAACGAAGAGGGUCCACACCCCCGAAAGCACGGGGCCAACGAAGGCCGCAUAGGCAGCGUACUCUGUAAGGUGCGGGGUAAUCCUUGCUAAGCCUGCUUCUGAUGAGCAGAAGGCUCUGACGCCAAGCUGCGCGAAAUGCGAUUGAAGAGGGCGCGCCCCAGCCACACCAGGUCCGUGACGAGGUCUGCGCGCAUGCAGACUGCUCUUAUCAUGCCCUAUUAUCCCAUAUAUGCACGAGGACUCUGGCACUCACUUGGCUCCACGUUCAUCUCCUCGAUUUUAGCAUCGAGGGCCUUGAGGGCCGCGGCGUUGGCUGUGGCCUGGGCCGCGAGCUGCCCGGCGAACUGCUCGAUUUGGGCCGCGAACUGCCCGGCGAACUGCUCGACCUGGGCCGCGAACUGCUCUUCGAGCCGGUCCAUCCGCUGCUGCAAGUCCACCUGGUCCAUCUGCUGCUGCAUACUGUCCGACUGAGGUUGCGGCGGCUGGGCCAUUAUUACGGCGAGCCGAUGCAAGUUGGCGUUGGUAAGUGAAGACUAUAGGUGAGCGAUGCGAUGCGAACUUGUAGGUGCGAUACCCCUGCUCCGACAUCGGCACGGCGCCGACCGAUGGGUGCCUCCCCUCAUACCUGGCGGUGGACCGUCAAUCUGCGUGGCCUCUGGGCCACAUUCGUCGCCACAUUCCUGCCGCACCACCUUCAUCCGUCUUCAUCCGAACCUACUUACUUCACGGCGGUGUAUCUAGCCCCGCCCAAGGCUUGCAUCUUCCAGGGGUGGGCCACCACCGCAGGCGUGUAAGGGCCCUAAUAUCGUUCUCGCCCAUGGCAUCCGGGGGCCCAAAAAUGCCUAGGUUUUAGCGGUUGGGGGGGCUCGCGGACAGUGCUCGUAUCUUCACAAGGCAUGCGGUGGGCGGUGUCGCGCACCUGGCGGUGGCGGUGGCGGUGGCGUUCCAG
rnacentral:lncRNA from 1 species